GUGACGUGCAUUGCACUGAAGUUGACCCACCACAAUGAUAGCAAAUGUCGUAUGCUGCUGAGGUGCUUUCCUCUAUGAGAUGUUUGUUUGUUUGCAGGACAUGCUUCCCUGUACCUAAUAAUAGUGUAAGUGUAGACUAUUUAUAUAAUGUCUGUGUCCUACACAUGUCUACUCUUUUUAACAAAAACAAUGUUUCCUCUGCUCAAUGAUCAUCAGAUUUUCCAAUGCAUACUCUAUCUGGCUCUGAGAAUGAGUUCAACCAAGAUGAGCUACCAUUUGCACGGGUAAUGGUGAUUCUCCAAAACUAUAUUUUUAUGCUGUAUUUAGAAAUAGAGUUUAAGAUAUUCCGCAUAUAUGUAAACAUAGAAUUCUCACUUCUACUAAUUGUAGUUAUUCUAGAACCUGAGACGACAAAGGAUCACAUUCUUACAACAUAUGUCUUAAUAUUAAUGGUUCAGAUAUCGUGAAGGAGAAGGAGGUGCCGGAAGGGGAUGGGAGCAACAAGUUGAUUCGAAAGAGGUAUACCCAUCUGUCUGCACACUGCUCUUAAUACAUUCUUCCCUUGGCCAUGCUGUAAUGUUUACGUCUUUCCACUUAUCAAAUUUUAGUUCAAUUUGAAGUGAUGCAUAUUGGAAUACAUUUUCCAGUCCUUCGAGCUGUUGCAUGAAUAAACGACAACGUAUUAGCAUCACAACCGAAGAAUAACAGAAAUCGUCUUAUCAAAAGAUGGUGCAGUGGGACUAAUAACUAACCAUAGCAGUGAGGUCUUUG
rnacentral:lncRNA from 1 species